AUUGAACGCUGGCGGCAGGCCUAACACAUGCAAGUCGAGCGGAUGAAGGGAGCUUGCUCCUGGAUUCAGCGGCGGACGGGUGAGUAAUGCCUAGGAAUCUGCCUGGUAGUGGGGGAUAACGUCCGGAAACGGGCGCUAAUACCGCAUACGUCCUGAGGGAGAAAGUGGGGGAUCUUCGGACCUCACGCUAUCAGAUGAGCCUAGUUCGGAUUAGCUAGUUGGUGGGGUAAAGGCCUACCAAGGCGACGAUCCGUAACUGGUCUGAGAGGAUGAUCAGUCACACUGGAACUGAGACACGGUCCAGACUCCUACGGGAGGCAGCAGUGGGGAAUAUUGGACAAUGGGCGAAAGCCUGAUCCAGCCAUGCCGCGUGUGUGAAGAAGGUCUUCGGAUUGUAAAGCACUUUAAGUUGGGAGGAAGCGCAGUAAGUUAAUACCUUGCUGUUUUGACGUUACCAACAGAAUAAGCACCGGCUAACUUCGUG
rnacentral:rRNA from 1 species